GUGCUGGCUGUAGCAACACAUAUACUAAAAUUGAAAUGAUACAGAGAGGAUUAGCAUGGCCCCUGUGCAAGGACAACAAGGAAAUUUGUGAAGCUUUCCAUAUUUUU
ensembl:snRNA U6 U6 spliceosomal RNA